CCUACGGGGGGCUGCAGUGAGGAAUAUUGGUCAAUGGACGCAAGUCUGAACCAGCCAUGCCGCGUGAAGGAUGAAGGCCUUCUGGGUUGUAAACUUCUUUUAUCAGGGAAGAAAAUUACGGUUUCUACUGUAACCGACGGUACCUGAGGAAUAAGCACCGGCUAACUCCGUGCCAGCAGCCGCGGUAAUACGGAGGGUGCAAGCGUUAUCCGGAUUCACUGGGUUUAAAGGGUGUGUAGGCGGAUAUUUAAGUCAGUGGUGAAAUCUCCGGGCUC
rnacentral:rRNA from 1 species